AUNAAGCUUACCAUGCAGUCUACUUGAUCCUUCGGGUGAAGGUGGCGGACGGGAUGAGUAACGCGUAAAGAACUUGCCUUACAGACUGGGACAACAUUUGGAAACGAAUGCUAAUACCGGAUAUUAUGACUGAGUCGCAUGAUUUGGUUAUGAAAGCUAUAUGCGCUGUGAGAGAGCUUUGCGUCCCAUUAGUUAGUUGGUGAGGUAACGGCUCACCAAGACGAUGAUGGGUAGCCGGCCUGAGAGGGUGAACGGCCACNAGGGGACUGAGACACGGCCCUUACUCCUACGGGAGGCAGCAGUGGGGAAUAUUGGACAAUGGACCAAAAGUCUGAUCCAGCAAUUCUGUGUGCACNAUGAAGUUUUUCGGAAUGUAAAGUGCUUUCAGUUGGGAAGAANUCANUGACGGUACCAACAGAAGAANCGACGGCUAAAUACNUGCCAGCAGCCGCGGUAAUACNUAUGUCGCANGCGUUAUCCGGAUUUAUUGGGCGUAAAGCGCGUCUAGGCGGGUUAGUAAGUCUGAUGUGAAAAUGCGGGGCUCAACNCCCGUAUUGCGUUGGAAACUGUUAAACUAGAGUACUGGAGAGGUAGGCCGAACUACCAAGUGUAGAGGUGAAAUUCGUAGAUAUUUGUAGGAAUGCCGAUGGGGAAGCCAGCCUACUGGACAGAUACUGACGCUAAAGCGCGAAAGCGUGGGUAGCAAACAGGAUUAGAUACCCUGGUAGUCCACGCCGUAAACGAUGAUUACUAGGUGUUGGGGGUCGAACCUCAGCGCCCAAGCUAACGCGAUAAGUAAUCCGCCUGGGGAGUACGUACGCAAGUAUGAAACUCAAACGAAUUGACGGGGACCCCCACAAGCGGUGGACCAUGUGGUUUAAUUCGACGCAACGCGAGGAACCUUACCAGCGUUUGACAUCCCAAGAAGUUAACAGAGAUGUUUUCGUGCCUCUUCGGAGGAACUUGGUGACAGGUGGUGCAUGGCUGUNGUCAGCUCGUGUCGUGAGAUGUUGGGUUAAGUCCCGCAACGAGCGCAACCCCUUUCGUAUGUUACCAUCAUUAAGUUGGGGACUCAUGCGAGACUGCCUGCGANGAGCAGGAGGAAGGUGGGGAUGACGUCAAGUCAUCAUGCNCCUUAUACGCUGGGCUACACACGUGNUACAAUGGGUAGUACAGAGAGCUGCAAACCUGCGAGGGUAAGCUAAUCUCAUAAANCUAUUCUUAGUUCGGAUUGUACUCUGCAACUCGAGUACAUGAAGUUGGAAUCGCUAGUAAUCGCAAAUCAGCUAUGCUGCGGUGAAUACGUUCUCGGGUCUUGNACACACCGCCNGUCACACCAGCGAGAGUUGGUUGCACCUGAAGUAACAGNCCUAACCGUAAGGAGUGAUUUCCAGG
rnacentral:rRNA from 1 species